rnacentral:RNase_P_RNA from 1 species
UAGGACAAAUAAUCGCGGCUGCAUUUUGUGCAGGUGAGGAAAGUCCGGGCUUCACAGGGCAGGAUGCCAGAUAACGUCUGGUGGAGGCGACUCCAAGGCUAGUGCAACAGAAAUAUACCGCCGGAACCGUUUCUUUGAGGCGGCGUCCGGUGAGGGUGGAAAGGCAGUGUAAGAGACUACCGUCCGUCUGGCAACAGGCGGAGCCAUGUAAACCCCAUCCGAAGCAAGACCAAAAAGAAAGCGACAGGCUUGCCCGGCCUGCUUUCAGGUAGGUCGCUUGAUGCGGCUGGCGACAGCCGUGCUAGAUAGAUGAUUAUUCGCGACAUAACCCGGCUUAUCGUCCUGCUUA